AUACUUACCUGGCAGGGGAGAUACCAUGAUCAUGAAGGUGGUUCUCCCAGGGUGAGGCUCAGCCAUUGCACUCCGGCUGUGCUGACCCCUGCGAUUUCCCCAAAUGCGGGAAAGUCGACUGCAUAAUUUCUGGUAGUGGGGGACUGCGUUCGCGCUUUCCCCUG
rnacentral:snRNA from 1 species